UUUUUUCGCCUAUUCUUUUAAUGGCCCUUGAAUUGUAUGACUCUUACGUUUUUUUUUUUCGUCCAAGUCACGUGACUUUCAAGCUACCGGCCGUGAGAACAAAAAACAUGGCGGACAUUCUCUCAUUUUUAGUGGAAAAAUCUAUAUUUUGAGUUAGUUUCUGAAUAAAAAGAAGUUUUGAUUACAUUUCUAGCGAGAAAUAUAUAUUUUAUUUUCAUAAUAUUCACUCAGUGAAUUUACAUAAUCAUCGCUUGCUCGAUUUUACCCAGAUUUUUCAGAUCUCGCCAGAAUAAUGUGAAACUGAUACGUUUUGGUUGCUAUGGACACUGCCAGGGCUCGUCGCAUGACGUCUUUUAAAGACUUUAUUAAAACCGCGUUCAGCUACAGGUAAAACAACAUUCAGAGGUGAUUUUAACAACGCUCCACGGCGCGUGAGAGUAAGCAUUUUAAGCGUUUUCUGAUCAUGUAGGUAAGUGCUUUUAUUAGACGUGAUGCAUGCUGGGUGGGAAAUUAUUUUUUAUCAAAGACUCGUUGAUGGUAAUUAAUAUAGAUAUGAAUAUACAUUUUGCAACCCUGUAUCACAUGAAAUACGUUCUGAGGAAACUAUUUUGCAAAUCGCAAUUACGUUACAUGCCAACAUAUAAGCAGUGCUGUUACGUUGGUAAUAUGACCCGUCGCCAUGGACACAAGGGGUCGGAUAUCUAAAGUUAAAUAUUUUUAACUUACGCGUGAAAUGGUUGAUUUUAAAAAUAUAUAUAUUCUAAGUAAACAACAACAGCCCAGGUUUAGUAAACAUUUUUUUAUUGAAACUAUAAAUAAAUAUUCUGCAUCCAUUUUAGGUGUGCCACUGUGGGUGGCUCCCGCACACCCGUGGCUACGCCCCUGCGUGACCCAAAUCUCGUUCGCACAUCAUCGCGAUGUUUAUCAUCAAUUUACAAACCUCGCCAGUCGCCUCAUCUUUUUUCUUCACAUACAUCUCAUACUCCUCCAUCUACACGCUCCACAACAUUUAAACCAACGGUUUUGACCAGUUAUGUCAGGAAGCUGCAACUAUUUCAAAGCAUCUUGAAAUGAAAGCUGACAAUGCUGAACUUGAAGCAGCUACCAGGGAGGCUGAAGAAAUUCUACAAAUGUUUAAUCCUACACUGCUGAAAAAGAAGACCAAACGAGCGAUUUCCUGGACUCAACAGACACAGUGAACUUUGAACUGCAUUUCAAAGCCAGCUUCUCAGCCGCAACACCGAGAACCAGAGUUGAAGUCAAUGUACUGCUGAGAAAGUGCAAGAUCUAUUUAACCAAAAAUAUAAGGAUGCCGGAGGUACUGGAAGGCUCCCCUACCAAUCCCUGGUAAAUCAAGGCAUGACAGUUAAAGUUGCAGGACUGCCCAACAGCCUCAAAAAACCAUCCUAUUAUGGAAGGAACCAGUUGGAGGCCAUUUUGCAAGCUGCUGAGGAGAUUUUAUUUGAAAUCAAUGCAGCACAAUGCAACUCCACUGACAAAGCAGAAGGAAUGUUAGAGGCGAUGGACGCAGAAGAGCUGGAAGAACAGUCCUCAGAAACAGCCACUACUGUAGCUAUCGUGAUGACUCCAGAUUAAGAUGGAGGCAAUUUGUGCUGUGUCUGCCGCAUCCUUUUCGAUGACAGGAAGAAGAAUGCUUCAGAGAAGUGGCGUUCAUGGUCACAGUGCACAGUGUGCCAAUCAUGGUCACACACUGCAUGUCAAGACACAAUGCAAACUUUGAGUUGUUUUUAUUUUGUUCAUGACCCCAUCCCUACAAACACACACACAUAUUUUUUUAUUUUUAUGUAUUAGGUGCAAUUUAAUAUUUUUCAUGCAAAUGUAUUGUAAAGAUUACACUUAUAAGAAUAAAACAGAUUUUUCAUUCACUCUAAUUUGUAUUUAUUGUUGUCAUUUGUUGGCACCAUAAGUGUGGUCCCUUUACCUGGGACAUGUGGGGACCAAUUAAUAUCUAUUGUACUGAAUUUAGGCCACAGGUUGUAAAUGAUAAGUAGCCUAUUGUUUCAUCUUUUAUCAAUGCUUCGGUAUGGUUGGGUGUUGGCAAGGACCUCACCAUACUUUUCAAUACAGUGAGUCAAAGAUCGAUUUCAUGUUAUGAUUAAAUACUUUACAUAACUUUAACAACUUUUUCGCAGUCUUGCUGUCACUGAGAGGUAUUUGGCAAAUUUGAUAUCGAAAAGUUGGUUUAUGUCAGAGCAGUAGUGAUACUUGUGGAUACUUUGAUAUACAACUGAACAGUACAAUUUAAAUAUAAUGGUUGCUAUGAACGAUGAUGAGGAUGAUGAUGUUAUGUGUAUCUGCUUUAUCAAAGUGAUUUUCCUCCAUCAUACAGAUGAAGUUAAAGCAAAUCUCUAUUACCACAUUUAAUGUUAUGAAAAGAACCAUCAUGACAGAAAUAUAUAUUUAUAUAUAAAUUGAAAGUAAUAAAAAAAAAAUGAGACCAGAAACCCACCAUGAGUUAAAAAACUGGCUAUGCUCAGUUGUAAGGACUUUUUUGAAAUGAUUAAGUAAUUUGACAUUAUGUGUCAUUUUGUGUUUUAAAUUAAAGUGACAACACAAGUAACAAAAUUUGGUGUUCCAAACUGAUU